GAUGAACGCUGGCGGCGUGCUUAACACAUGCAAGUCGAACGAUGAAGCCCAGCUUGCUGGGUGGGUUAGUGGCGAACGGGUGAGUAACACGUGAGUAACCUGCCCUUAACUCUGGGAUAAGCCUGGGAAACUGGGUCUAAUAUCGGAUAGGAGCGUCCACCGCAUGGUGGGUGUUGGAAAGAUUUAUCGGUUUUGGAUGGACCCGCGGCCUAUCGGAGUGUUGGUGGGGUAAUGGGUCACCACGGCGCCGACGGGUAGCCGGCGUGGGAGGGUGACCGGCCACACGGGGACGGAGACACGGCCCAGACCCCUACGGGGGGCAGCGGGGGGGAAAAUGCAACAAGGGGCGCAGGCCGGAUGAGGCGACGCGGGGUGGGGGAUGACGGCCUUCGGGUGGUAAACCUCUUUCAGUAGGAAAGAGGCGAAAGGGACGGUACCUGCAGAAGAAGCACCGGCUAACUACGU
rnacentral:rRNA from 1 species